rnacentral:sRNA from 1 species
CUUCUUACCAUUUCUCCUCUCUCUUCUUCUUCUUCGUUCGCCUUCCUUAACCUAGGAAUCCGACCACCUUUGCUUGUCCCUAAAAGCUC